rnacentral:RNase_P_RNA from 1 species
ACUGCAAGCUGCGCUAUCGUAUGGUGUUUAUCACCAUAAGGAAAGUCCGGACAGCAUAGAGCGCCACACCGGUUAACGGCCGGCUCUCUUCACAGAGACGAGAAAGUGCCACAGAAAAUAACCACCGCCUCGGCGGAAAGGGUGAAAACGUAGUGUAAGAGACUACGAGCUUCUUUGGUAACAAAUUAGUUGGGUAAACCUUGUGUGCUGAAAUGCCAAAUAUACCAGUGCUUAAGGGCUGCUCGCCUGAGCUGGGUGGGUAGGCAGAUAGAGGUAAGCAGUAAUGCUUAUCCCAGAUAAAUGAUAGCAAACACAUUGUGUUCACAGAAUCCGGCUUAUAAGCUUGCAGUAUUU